GUGCCAGCCGCCGCGGUAAUACGUAAGGGGCAAGCGUUGUCCGGAAUCACUGGGCGUAAAGCGCGCGUAGGCGGUUUGACAAGUCGGGUGUGAAAUCCCCGGGCUUAACCCGGGAACUGCGCCCGAAACUGUCUCACUGGAGGAACGGAGAGGUGCACGGAAUUCCCGGUGUAGGGGUGAAAUCCAUAGAGAUCGGGAGGAACACCAAUGGCGAAGGCAGUGCACUGGACGUUUCCUGACGCUGAGGUGCGAAAGCGUGGGUAGCGAACGGGAUUAGAAACCCGUGUAGUCC
rnacentral:rRNA from 1 species